rnacentral:sRNA from 1 species
UAAGACGAUGAGGUGCUGUUUGCAGCCAU